rnacentral:tRNA from 1 species
GGCUGUAGCUCAGUGGUAGAGUGCUCGCCUAGCAUGUGUGAGGCACUGGGUUCAAUCCUCAGCACCA